UACGUAGGGGGCAAGCGUUGUCCGGAUUUAUUGGGCGUAAAGAGCGUGUAGGCGGCCAGGUAGGUCUGCUGUGAAAACUCGAGGCUCAACCUCGAGACGUCGGUUGAAACCGUAUGGCUAGAGUCCGGAAGAGGAGAGUGGAAUUCCCGGUGUAGCGGUGAAAUGCGCAGAUAUCGGGAAGAACACCCGUGGCGAAGGCGGCUCUCUGGGACGGUACUGACGCUGAGACGCGAAAGCGUGGGGAGCGAACAGG
rnacentral:rRNA from 1 species